rnacentral:rRNA from 1 species
GAUGAACGCUGGCGGCGCGCCUAACACAUGCAAGUCGAACGGUUAAAGCACCUUUUAGGUGUGUAUAAAGUGGCGAACGGCUGAGUAACACGUGGGCAACCUGCCCUCCUCUUGGGGAUAGCCUCGGGAAACCGAGGAUAAUACCCGAUACUUCAAUGUGGCCGCAUGACGACAUUGAGAAAGCUUUUGCGGAGAAGGAUGGGCCCGCGGCCUGUUAGCUUGUUGGUGGGGUAGAGGCCUACCAAGGCAA